CGCAGGCGGUCGAUCAAGUCGAGUGUGAAAGCCCCCGGCUCAACUGGGGAGGGUCAUUCGAAACUGGUCGACUCGAAGGCAGGAGAGGGUAGUGGAAUUCCCGGUGUAGUGGUGAAAUGCGUAGAUAUCGGGAGGAACACCAGUGGCGAAGGCGACUACCUGGCCUGUUCUUGACGCCGAGGCGCGAAAGCUAGGGAGCAAACG
rnacentral:rRNA from 1 species